rnacentral:rRNA from 1 species
GAUGAACGCUAGCGGCAGGCCUAAUACAUGCAAGUCGAACGGUGUCUUCGGACAUAGUGGCGCACGGGUGCGUAACACGUAUGCAACCUACCUUACAUUGGGGGAUAGCCUUUCGAAAGGGAGAUUAAUACCGCAUAAGACAGUAGCUGGGCAUCCAGCAGCUGUUAAAGAUUUAUCGAUGUAAGCUGGGCAUGCGUCCAAUUAGCUAGUUGGUGAGGUAACGACUCACCAAGGCAAUGAUUGGUAGGGGAACUGAGAGGUGAAUCCCCCACACUGGCACUGGGAUACGGGCCAGACUCCUACGGGAGGCAGCAGUAGGGAAUAUUGGGCAAUGGACGCAAGUCUGACCCAGCCAUGCCGCGCGCAGGAUGAAGGCGUUAUGCGUUGUAAACUGCUUUUAUACAGGAAGAAACGACUCUUGCGAGAGGCAUUGACGGUACUGUAUGAAUAAGCACCGGCUAACUCCGUGCCAGCCGCCGCGGUAAGAC